rnacentral:rRNA from 1 species
GAUGAACGCUGGCGGCGUGCCUAAUACAUGCAAGUCGAGCGAACGGACGAGAAGCUUGCUUCUCUGAUGUUAGCGGCGGACGGGUGAGUAACACGUGGAUAACCUACCUAUAAGACUGGGAUAACUUCGGGAAACCGGAGCUAAUACCGGAUAAUAUUUUGAACCGCAUGGUUCAAAAGUAAAAGACGGUCUUGCUGUCACUUAUAGAUGGAUCCGCGCUGCAUUAGCUAGUUGGUAAGGUAACGGCUUACCAAGGCAACGAUGCAUAGCCGACCUGAGAGGGUGAUCGGCCACACUGGAACUGAGACACGGUCCAGACUCCUACGGGAGGCAGCAGUAGGGAAUCUUCCGCAAUGGGCGAACGCCUGACGGAGCAACGCCGCGUGAGUGAUGAAGGUCUUCGGAUCGUAAAACUCUGUUAUUAGGGAAGAACAUAUGUGUAAGUAACUGUGCACAUCUUGACGGUACCUAAUCAGAAAGCCACGGCUAACUACGUG